rnacentral:lncRNA from 1 species
GUUAGGAUCAUGGAUGUAGGUUAGGAGUGUCUCCAUCUCCGUUAUAAGAGACGUUGUGAUGUUAAAGUGAUGUUUGAUCUUUAGGAGACAUCGACAGAGAUGGAGCUUCUUCCUCUUCUGUGUCUCUGCCUCCUGACUCGCUCUGGAAUCACGUCUGCUCAACUAAACGGGCCACCGUUGAUUAAAGUGGAACAAGACAGAGAUGUGGUGUUACCCUGCUCUCUCAGCACCAAGGAGAACAUUGCAUCAGGUGUCUUUGACUGGAAGAAAGUUGCUCAGAAAGAUGCUGGUGAGAAGGAGGUGUUCCUGUAUGACAAAGGCAAACAUUACAACAACGGCCGAGAUGGUCAGAGUGAGCAGUUCAAAGGUCGAGUCUCUCAUUUUCAAGAUGAACUGAAGUACGGCAACGCCUCCAUAAUCAUCAGAAAUACAAAGAUAUCUGACAGCGGAAACUACACCUGUUAUUUUCCCCAUCUUCGGCCACCUCAAACAUUCUACAUUGAGCUAGUUGUUGAUCCUACCUUAAUCUCUUAGGGCUCAUUUUGAUUAUGUGCAUUUCUGCCUCUUGAUAAAGACACAUUUUAAUCUGUAUAAUACCAGAACACAAGGAACUGAUGUAUGUAAAUGACAUCACU